GGGAGGGGGCCGGGCUAGCGGGCUACUGGGCUGCGGAGACCAGACCCCGGCUCCACUGGUGGAAACCCGCCGGCUGCUGGGGCAGGGCGGCGAAAGGUCAGUCGGCCGAGAGGAGUCCGUGGAGCCACCGUUUCAUAGCCUCAGGGAAAGGAUCGGGCGUGCUCACGAGCCCUCUAACCCAUGGCUUAAACACCCGCUUCCUAAGCCUGGUUCCUGAAUAUAUCACAUGUGAUAAACAUGAAGAUGUAUGAAAAAUUGUGUUCGUUGAGAGAAAAUGGAAGGCUUUUCAUUCUACUUCCACAUUUUCAUUCCAGCAGCUUUUCUGUUUUGGAAGACAAGGAAAAUGAAGCGCAGAGACGUUAAAUAACUCUCUCAAGGUCAUGCAGCUGAGAAGAGAUGAGACUUGAACUCCAGUGCCAGCCCUGUUAAUCACUAUUCUGUACUGUCUUUCAGGUUCUUAUGCCUUUGUUUGAAAAACAUGGUUCCCUGUGAAAUUUUACAUGUAGAAGACAGCUUCACACUACGAGAGCUCUCAGGAUAUAAUUAUUUCAGACAGAUGCUGGGAACAUAAGAUGGCUUAUCAAUCUAAGAUGGCCUUCCUGUCCUUCGGAUUGAACUGAAACCAUCCCUGAUUCCAGGGAUAGGUAGAUGAUCCAGGUUUGGACAAUCGAAAUAUUGAACCACCCUGGACCUACAAGUGUUUCUGGGAUGGGAACGUGCAAACGUUGGUCCAAAUUGUUGUUCUAGGCAGCCCAGUACAUUUCUCCAAUGCCUGAUGGAAUGAUAGGGUACGCAUAAAUGUUCAUGUGGGCUCUGGAGUAUACCAGGAACUGAAGUAAGGUACAUGGACGUCUUGAAUAUUGUAACUGAGAUGGGCAAGCCUACACCUUUGCAAAUAAAGGAGGAUUGGGAAAGAUUAAGAAUGAUUGAGUCUCAGAAUUGUUCUUUAAUCCUCAGUAUUUCCUUUAAGAAGAGCUUCUAUCAAGUGCUUCAAAAGUACCCAAUGUGAAGGAGUAAUAAUGACUCCCCUGCUGCCUCUCAAGCACUGUGAAAAAUCACUUUCUCUUGUUGUAUUCUUGGAGCCCCUGCUAAUUCAUUAUUGAAAAAUACCUGCUGCCUGCAUUUGGCCUUAUGUUGUCAUUUACUUGGUACUUCCUAAGCGUGGCUACUCCAAUGAAGCUUUAGUAUAUGUACUGAAAGAAGAUCCUCUCAUACUGCCACAGCCAACAGAUAAGGUUGUAAAUCUUUAUUGGGAGAAGCCGUCAAGGACAGUUCUGUGAAAUGAAAGGAUCUCUGGAUCACCACAAAGUCUGGCUCAGUGACUAUGGCUUUGCUAACACUAAACAUUCCUAUCUCAAGUCCUGUAGAUGGCUUGAAAUAGUAUACAUAAGCAUGCCUUAUAAACAUCUUCAGUCUUUAUCAACUCUUUGGAGAUUCAGCCAUUCUUUUUUGUACUUUAGGGAAUUAAAUCAUUUUAUAAUGUAUAAAUCUGAGCAUGGCAGAUGGCAGAAGAAAUUUUGUCAUAUGUUUUUAAAGAAAUAAAAAUGUAUUAUGUUUUAAAA